rnacentral:rRNA from 1 species
ACGAACGCUGGCGGCGUGCUUAACACAUGCAAGUCGAACGGAAAGGCCCCUUUGGGGGUACUCGAGUGGCGAACGGGUGAGUAACACGUGAGUAACCUGCCCUUGACUUCGGGAUAACUUCAGGAAACUGGGGCUAAUACCGGAUAGGAAUCCUUGCUGCAUGGUGGGGGUUGGAAAGCUUCGGCGGUUUUGGAUGGACUCGCGGCUUAUCAGCUUGUUGGUGGGGUAGUGGCUUACCAAGGCUUUGACGGGUAGCCGGCCUGAGAGGGCGACCGGCCACAUUGGGACUGAGAUACGGCCCAGACUCCUACGGGAGGCAGCAGUGGGGAAUAUUGCACAAUGGGCGGAAGCCUGAUGCAGCAACGCCACGUGCGGGAUGACGGCCUUCGGGUUGUAAACCGCUUUCAGCAGGGGCGAAGCUUGUGGUGACGGUACCUGCAGAAGAAGCACCGGCUAACUACGUG